GCCUGCGUGGCUCAAUAGGUUGAGCGUCCGACUUCAGCUCAGGUCAUGAUCUCACAGUUUGGGGGUUCGAGCCCCUCAUCAGGCU
rnacentral:tRNA from 1 species